rnacentral:tRNA from 1 species
GAGGACGAAUGCAAAGCGGUCGAGCGCCCAGUCUUUCAAGCUGGUCCUAGCGGGUUCGAGUCCCGUCGUCCUUG